rnacentral:rRNA from 1 species
GGGCAACGAGCGAGACCCACGUCCACAGUUGCCAGCAUACCCUCCGGGGUGAUGGGUACACUGUGGAGACCGCCGCUGCUAAAGCGGAGGAAGGAGUGGGCAACGGUAGGUCAGUAUGCCCCGAAUCUCCCGGGCUACACGCGGGCUACAAUGGUUGGUACAAUGGGCAUCUACCCCGAAAGGGGAAGGAAAUCUCUUAAAGCCAAUCGUAGUUCGGAUUGAGGGCUGCAACUCGCCCUCAUGAAGCUGGAAUCCGUAGUAAUCGCGUUUCAACAGAACGCGGUGAAUACGUCCCUGCUCCUU